AGAGCGAACGCUGGCGGCGUGGUUUAGACAUGCAAGUCGAGCGGUAAGGCCCCUUCGGGGGUACACGAGCGGCGAACGGGAGAGUAAUGCUUGGACAACCUACCUCGAAGUCGGGGAUAGCCACUGGAAACGGUGGGUAAUACCCGAUGGUCCCCCGAGUUGAUGACUCGGACGGUAAAGGUGAUUCCGCUUCGGGACGGGUCCAAGUCCUAUUAGCUUGUUGGUGCGGUAACGGCGCACCAAGGCAUCGAUAGGUAGCGGGCCUGAGAGGGUGAUCCGCCUCACUGGGACUGAGACACUGCCCAGACUCCUACGGGAGGCUGCAGUCACGAAUCAUUGGCAAUGCGCGCAAGCGUGACCAUGCGACGCCGCGUGGGCGAUGAAGGCCUUCGGGUUGUAAAGCCCUGUCAGGAGUGAGCAAAGCCGUGUGAAAAGCACGGUUGAGUUAAGCUCCAAAGGAAGUCACGGCUAACUCCGUGCCAGCAGCCGCGGUAAUACGGAGGUGGCAAGCGUUGCUCGGAAUCACUGGGCUUAAAGGGCGUGUAGGCGGCAAUUUAAGUCGGGUGUGAAAUCCCUCGGCUCAACCGAGGAAUUGCAUCCGAAACUGAUUUACUUGAGUGCGGGAGGGGAGAGUGGAACUCCAGGUGUAGCGGUGAAAUGUGUAGAUAUCUGGAGGAACGCCGGUGGCGAAAGCGACUCUCUGGCCCGAUACUGACGCUGAGGCGCGAAAGCUAGGGUAGCGAACGGGAUUAGAUACCCCGGUAGUCCUAGCCCUAAACGAUGAGCACUUGGCUGUGGUCAAAUCGACUAGAGCACAGCCGUAGCGAAAGUGAUAAGUGCUCCGCCUGGGGAGUACGGUCGCAAGGCUG
rnacentral:rRNA from 1 species